CUGACUGCUAUCGGAUUGAUACUAAGCCAUGCGAGUCUUUGUAGUAAUACAAGGCAGACGGCUCAGUAACACGUAGUCAACCUACCCUAUGGACAAGAAUAAUCUCGGGAAACUGGGCAUAAUUCUUGAUAGAUCAUAAUGCCUGGAAUGGUUUAUGGUUAAAAUGAUUCGUCGCCAUAGGAUGGGACUGCGGCCUAUCAGCUUGUUGGUGAGGUAAUGGCCCACCAAGGCGAUUACAGGUACGGGCUCUGAGAGGAGAAGCCCGGAGAUGGGUACUGAGACACGGACCCAGGCCCUAUGGGGCGCAGCAGGCGAGAAAACUUUGCAAUGUGCGAAAGCACGACAAGGUUAAUCCGAGUGAUUUCUGCUAAAGAAAUCUUUUGCCAGUCAUAAAACCACUGGUGAAUAAGGGGUGGGCAAGUUCUGGUGUCAGCCGCCGCGGUAAAACCAGCACCUCAAGUGGUCAGGAUGAUUAUUGGGCCUAAAGCAUCCGUAGCCGGCUUUGUUAGUUUUCGGUUAAAUCCAUGCGCUCAACGCAUGGGCUGCCGAAAAUACUGCAUAGCUAGGGAGUGGGAGAGGUAGACGGUACUCAGUAGGAAGGGGUAAAAUCCUUUGAUCUAUUGAUGACCACCUGUGGCGAAGGCGGUCUACCAGAACACGUUCGACGGUGAGGGAUGAAAGCUGGGGGAGCAAACCGGAUUAGAUACCCGGGUAGUCCCAGCUGUAAACGAUGCAGACUCGAUGAUGCAUUGGCAUAAUAGCCAGUGCAGUGUCGCAGGGAAGCCGUUAAGUCUGCCGCCUGGGAAGUACGUACGCAAGUAUGAAACUUAAGGAAUUGGCGGGGAGCACCACAAGGGUGAAGCUGCGGUUCAAU
rnacentral:rRNA from 1 species